CCUUUUGUAUAAUGGGUCAGCGACUUAUAUUCUGUAGCAAGGUUAACCGAAUAGGGGAGCCGAAGGGAAACCGAGUCUUAACUGGGCGUUAAGUUGCAGGGUAUAGACCCGAAACCCGGUGAUCUAGCCAUGGGCAGGUUGAAGGUUGGGUAACACUAACUGGAGGACCGAACCGACUAAUGUUGAAAAAUUAGCGGAUGACUUGUGGCUGGGGGUGAAAGGCCAAUCAAACCGGGAGAUAGCUGGUUCUCCCCGAAAGCUAUUUAGGUAGCGCCUCGUGAAUUCAUCUCCGGGGGUAGAGCACUGUUUCGGCAAGGGGGUCAUCCCGACUUACCAACCCGAUGCAAACUGCGAAUACCGGAGAAUGUUAUCACGGGAGACACACGGCGGGUGCUAACGUCCGUCGUGAAGAGGGAAACAACCCAGACCGCCAGCUAAGGUCCCAAAGUCAUGGUUAAGUGGGAAACGAUGUGGGAAGGCCCAGACAGCCAGGAUGUUGGCUUAGAAGCAGCCAUCAUUUAAAGAAAGCGUAAUAGCUCACUGGUCGAGUCGGCCUGCGCGGAAGAUGUAACGGGGCUAAACCAUGCACCGAAGCUGCGGCAGCGACACUAUGUGUUGUUGGGUAGGGGAGCGUUCUGUAAGCCUGUGAAGGUGUGCUGUGAGGCAUGCUGGAGGUAUCAGAAGUGCGAAUGCUGACAUAAGUAACGAUAAAGCGGGUGAAAAGCCCGCUCGCCGGAAGACCAAGGGUUCCUGUCCAACGUUAAUCGGGGCAGGGUGAGUCGACCCCUAAGGCGAGGCCGAAAGGCGUAGUCGAUGGGAAACAGGUUAAUAUUCCUGUACUUGGUGUUACUGCGAAGGGGGGACGGAGAAGGCUAUGUUGGCCGGGCGACGGUUGUCCCGGUUUAAGCGUGUAGGCUGGUUUUCCAGGCAAAUCCGGAAAAUCAAGGCUGAGGCGUGAUGACGAGGCACUACGGUGCUGAAGCAACAAAUGCCCUGCUUCCAGGAAAAGCCUCUAAGCAUCAGGUAACAUCAAAUCGUACCCCAAACCGACACAGGUGGUCAGGUAGAGAAUACCAAGGCGCUUGAGAGAACUCGGGUGAAGGAACUAGGCAAAAUGGUGCCGUAACUUCGGGAGAAGGCACGCUGAUAUGUAGGUGAAGCGACUUGCUCGUGGAGCUGAAAUCAGUCGAAGAUACCAGCUGGCUGCAACUGUUUAUUAAAAACACAGCACUGUGCAAACACGAAAGUGGACGUAUACGGUGUGACGCCUGCCCGGUGCCGGAAGGUUAAUUGAUGGGGUCAGCGCAAGCGAAGCUCUUGAUCGAAGCCCCGGUAAACGGCGGCCGUAACUAUAACGGUCCUAAGGUAGCGAAAUUCCUUGUCGGGUAAGUUCCGACCUGCACGAAUGGCGUAAUGAUGGCCAGGCUGUCUCCACCCGAGACUCAGUGAAAUUGAACUCGCUGUGAAGAUGCAGUGUACCCGCGGCAAGACGGAAAGACCCCGUGAACCUUUACUAUAGCUUGACACUGAACAUUGAGCCUUGAUGUGUAGGAUAGGUGGGAGGCUUUGAAGUGUGGACGCCAGUCUGCAUGGAGCCGACCUUGAAAUACCACCCUUUAAUGUUUGAUGUUCUAACGUUGACCCGUAAUCCGGGUUGCGGACAGUGUCUGGUGGGUAGUUUGACUGGGGCGGUCUCCUCCUAAAGAGUAACGGAGGAGCACGAAGGUUGGCUAAUCCUGGUCGGACAUCAGGAGGUUAGUGCAAUGGCAUAAGCCAGCUUGACUGCGAGCGUGACGGCGCGAGCAGGUGCGAAAGCAGGUCAUAGUGAUCCGGUGGUUCUGAAUGGAAGGGCCAUCGCUCAACGGAUAAAAGGUACUCCGGGGAUAACAGGCUGAUACCGCCCAAGAGUUCAUAUCGACGGCGGUGUUUGGCACCUCGAUGUCGGCUCAUCACAUCCUGGGGCUGAAGUAGGUCCCAAGGGUAUGGCUGUUCGCCAUUUAAAGUGGUACGCGAGCUGGGUUUAGAACGUCGUGAGACAGUUCGGUCCCUAUCUGCCGUGGGCGCUGGAGAACUGAGGGGGGCUGCUCCUAGUACGAGAGGACCGGAGUGGACGCAUCACUGGUGUUCGGGUUGUCAUGCCAAUGGCACUGCCCGGUAGCUAAAUGCGGAAGAGAUAAGUGCUGAAAGCAUCUAAGCACGAAACUUGCCCCGAGAUGAGUUCUCCCUGACUCCUUGAGAGUCCUGAAGGAACGUUGAAGACGACGACGUUGAUAGGCCGGGUGUGUAAGCGCAGCGAUGCGUUGAGCUAACCGGUACUAAUGAACCGUGAGGCUUAACCUUACAACGCCGAAGGUGUUU
rnacentral:rRNA from 1 species